GCUUUUAUUCGUUUCACGAGUUAAGUUCGAAACCCGAGUCAAGUUCAAGUCGCGGGUCAAUUUCGAGCCAACCUUAACUUUUCUAGCUUGUUUUUUUCUCUCUGUCAAAAUGAUGCACCAGGGCUACAAGAACGCCCAUUUUUAAACUCAAGACUUGUAUUUUUUCACAGCCGUUUGCUAUUAAAGAAGUAAACAUUCUUCGGCAUCUACGAGACCGACCUCUUUUAAUUACAACACUCAAGGCAGAAGUCCCAUUUCAACAACGAACUGUCUUAACUGAAAAUAGAAACAAGGAAAAGAAAGGAAAAAAAUAGAAUCUUAGCAUUUCUCGCACUCGGCCGCCAUUUUGUUGCUUCCAUAGGGUUCUCAUUGAAAACUAACUGUUUCUCCCUGACCAAAAUUGUGGAUAGCAGAUAUUAUUUUCCUCUAAAAUAUUUGUUUCACCAGAAUGAUCUUCUCCUCCUUUUUUUUGUUUGUCCCGUAAGAUACAGGUUUCUCUAUUCAAGAUUUUCUAACCAUCGUAAAGUUCUCGAGACAUGACGUGCAUCAAGUGUGCAUUUCUUAAAGAAUGUUAUUUCGUUUGCUCUCUCCGCAUUUUUAUUGCUUUUAUUUCCAUUUACCGGUUGGGGAUUUAAGUAAGCCACAUGUCGCCCUAAUAAAACCAAACAAACCUUUAUAACUUCUAAUUAACUCCCAUGUGGAUUAUGUGCUAGUUUUACAAUGAGUUGGCCAGGUUUGUCUGGUAAAUUAUUCCGCAAUUGCGCAGAGUACAAAUUCUAUGACAACAUCCCAUGAUGAUCGUGGCCAUCUUGAGCAAGCUGGUCAUAACACGGCCAUGAUUAAGCUGGGCUGAGUGAGUCGUUGCCGUUGAGUACUUGGUGUUUUGUGUUUCGUUUGUUGUUUACGUUGAUGUUACCUCCAAAUGGUCAAGGAAAUAAAGCCAUUUUUGAUUGUUAUCAUCAUCCUCUCAGUUGUGUUACUAAUUGCAACAGCAAUUCAGUUGCAAUUAAUUCCUUCACUGCCAACGCUUGUACCAAUACAAAUACAAGGUAAGAAUGCAAGGACUCAAAGAGCCAUACACAAAUUGUUACUAGAAUUUUUAUUGAUAAACCCAAAUGUCUAAAAUAUUUUUCUAUUAUGAUGAUGUUGUGAUGACCUGCUUGCUGGAUAAUAUAUGGGUAUUAUAGGGAGAAGUGACAUGUUAAUCACUUCUGGGAGUUGAGGGGUUAAGGUCAGAAGUUGUUGAAAGGUUAGCAUGUAAGACACGGGAUCAGAAGGCUCACACUUGAUUCCUACCAGGGUAACUCUGUUUUGAAAUUUGGUCUUACCUUGACCAUACAUCUUCUCUCACCUUAAAUGGACUGGUGUCCCUUCCAGA